GUUUGAUCCUGGCUCAGAGCGAACGUUAGCGGCGGGCCUAACACAUGCAAGUCGAGCGAGAAAAGGGCUUCGGCCCUUAGUAAAGCGGCGGACGGGUGAGUAACACGUAGGUAAUCUUCCCUUGAGCGGGGGACAACGAGCCGAAAGGCUCGCUAAUACCGCAUACGUUUCUCGGGACUCCGGUCCUGGGAAGGAAAGCUAGGCCGCAAGGUCCGGCACUCGAGGAGGAGCCUGCGUCGCAUCAGCUAGUUGGUGGGGUAACGGCCUACCAAGGCGAAGACGCGUAGCUGGUCUGAGAGGAUGAUCAGCCACACUGAAACUGAGACACGGUUCAGACUCCUACGGGAGGCAGCAGUGGGGAAUAUUGGACAAUGGGCGCAAGCCUGAUCCAGCCACGCCGCGUGAGUGAUGAAGGCCUUCGGGUCGUAAAGCUCUGUGGGGAGGGACGAACCGCCGUUGGUUCAUAGCCAACGGCAUGACGGUACCUCCUUAGCAAGCACCGGCUAACUUCGUGCCAGCAGCCGCGGUAA
rnacentral:rRNA from 1 species